UGGCGGAGUUCCAGAAAUGAUGUUGAGAAUCAGGCUGCAUUUCUGAGAAAACACUCAGAGCUCUUUGCUCUUGUAUACUGCCAAUGUGGAAUCACUUCUAAAUUUGCCUUAAUCCAACUCCUAGAAACACUUUGACUGUCAUUCCUGAAGUGCCAGAGUUUGAGCAAACAACACGUAAGUGGGCUGCAGAAAUGAGAGAAUGCACAACAUGCCAAAUGCACUAACAUGCUAAAAGCAGGUAAAAGCUUAUAGUGUUAUAGCUCAGUCUAGCUUUCUUCCUGUAAAAUACAUUCAAAAUUAAUGUAUGAAUCAAUUCCCUAGAUAAAAAUA
rnacentral:lncRNA from 1 species